rnacentral:tRNA from 1 species
GGAUAUAGCUUGGUGGUAGAGUGCAUGCCUUGUAUGCAUAAGGUCCAGGGUUCAAUCCCCAGUGCCUCCA